GAACGACAGUGUUUCAGGAAAACCCAGUGAUGUAGUGGCAGAGAUGUUUGAGAAACAAAUGGUUGGUGCUGCUUUCUGGGCAACUCCGUAAAAUUUUCACUGAAAUUUUAACAAUGAAUUACUUCAAAGUGAGAGGCAAAUGGAUUUGAACAUCAGGUUACUCCUCCUCCUGUAAAAAUCAUUCAUAUGUGAGUUGAAUUUUGAACUUGACUCAUAACAACCUAAGUAUGUUCAUUAAAAAGUCUCCACCUUGAAA
rnacentral:lncRNA from 1 species